rnacentral:rRNA from 1 species
GAUGAACGCUAGCGAUAGGCUUAACACAUGCAAGUCGAGGGGCAGCAUGGUCUUAGCUUGCUAAGACUGAUGGCGACCGGCGCACGGGUGCGUAACGCGUAUGCAACUUGCCUCACAGAGGGGGAUAACCCGUCGAAAGACGGACUAAUACCGCGUACACUUGGGAUAGGGCAUCCUGACCCAAGGAAAUGAAAUUCGCUGUGAGAUAGGCAUGCGUCCCAUUAGCUAGUUGGUGAGGUAACGGCUCACCAAGGCGACGAUGGGUAGGGGAACUGAGAGGUUGGACCCCCACACUGGUACUGGGACACCGACCAAGCUCCUACGGGAGGCAGCAGUGGGGAAUAAUUGUCAAUGGGCGAGAGCCUGAACCAGCCAAGUCGCGUGAAGGAUGACUGUCUUAUGGAUUGUAAACUUCUUUUAUACGGGAAUAACAAGAGCCACGUGUGGCUCCCUGCAUGUACCGUAUGAAUAAGCAUCGGCUAACUCCGUG